UACGUAGGGGGCGAGCGUUGUCCGAAGUUACUGGGCGUAAAGCGCGCGUAGGCGGUCAUUUAAGUUCGGGGUGAAAGGUUCAGCGCUCAACGCGAACAGUGCCUUGAAUACUGGGUGACUUGAGUUCGGGAGAGGGCAGUGGAAUUCCUGGUGUAGCGGUGAAAUGCGUAGAUAUCAGGAGGAACACCGAUGGCGAAGGCAGCUGCCUGGCCCUAGAACUGACGCUGAGGUGCGAAAGCGUGGGGAGCGAACAGG
rnacentral:rRNA from 1 species